GAGUGUUUGUGAAGGUCUCAUCCAUGAAGGGCAUCGAUGUAAGAAAAUAAAGGAAAGAGAUGCCCGAGAUUCAUGGAUCCUAAGCAUCAUUGAGUGUGCGUGUAGGUGCAAUUGUGUACCUUUAGACACUACCGCUAGAAUUUACAACUUUACACCUACUCUUUCAUGCAUCGUCUAUUAAGUGUAUACAUGGUCCCACGCACAUCAUAUUAGCAGCCUUUGGCCCAGCUAAGUCAGCAAAGUAGCACUUCAAAUAUGAACAUCAUCCCUCUUACAAAACCAAAACUUAGUAGCCUGUGUCCCAACCGUCUGCAAACUAGCACUUAAAACAAUAGUUCCAUUUGUGUCAGCAAAAGGUCAGCCCUUCAGUGCUAAAGAUCUAUCAGGUCCAACCAUCCAACAAUUUCACUAACAAAUAAGAGCCAUAACAAUUUUACAAUGUUGAGAUGGCACACUAACGAGAGAGGAAUGAUUCCAAGACUUAACUUUUCCACAAUUUAACUUGCAUAUAGUGUACCUUUUAAAGUGAACAGGUAAUGAAGUUGACCUUGUCUGAUACUCAUCCAGGAAAAAUGAAAAGGCUUGACCUGAUUUCCAGUAUCAUGAAUUUCUA
rnacentral:misc_RNA from 1 species